AGAGAGGCGCUUUCUCCGCAGCCUGGGAACCUGCCUCGGAUCCCGCAGGGGUUUCCAGCAGCCGCUGCCUGGCUGUGCACUGGGCUCCCCGCUGCUCUCCAUGGACUGAGGCUGCUUGGGCACCAGGCUUUGCAUCAGCAGCACAGAGGGGUCCUCACCGUGGGGGGACUGGACGUGAGCUCCCAGGGACACUGACAAGGAUUUGUGUGUAAUCUACAAUCUGGACUCUAACAUACCAAAGGGCAUUUGUUCACCCCAAAAGGCUUCAUAGUCAAGGAUCAUGGUAGACAUUUUAAUAGUAUCUUUGAGACUUCUCAGUUUCAUAGUGGUAUUAGGAUUUCAGCUGGUCAUCCCACAGACAUCAAUUGAACACAGAAAGGU